CAGCUCAGAACUGGUACGGA
rnacentral:snRNA from 1 species